rnacentral:rRNA from 1 species
CGCGAACGCUGGCGGCAGGCCUAAAACAUGCAAGUCGAACGCCCGUAGCAAUACGGGAGUGGCAGACGGGUGAGUAACACGUGGGAACGUGCCCUUUGGUUCGGAACAACACAGGGAAACUUGUGCUAAUACCGGAUAAGCCCUUACGGGGAAAGAUUUAUCGCCAGAGGAUCGGCCCGCGUCUGAUUAGCUAGUUGGUGAGGUAACGGCUCACCAAGGCUACGAUCAGUAGCUGGCUGAGAGGAUGAUCAGCCACACUGGGACUGAGACACGGCCCAGACUCCUACGGGAGGCAGCAGUUAGGAAUCUUGGACAAUGGGCGCAAGCCUGAUCCAGCCAUGCCGCGUGAGUGAUGAAGGCCUUAGGGUUGUAAAGCUCUUUCAGCGGGGAAGAUAAUGACGGUACCCGCAGAAGAACGCCCCGG